rnacentral:lncRNA from 1 species
AUGUUGGGGGGAAAGCCAACAAUUGUCGAGACUCUGGCAAAUGUGGAACUCCUCACCAGAAAUGACUCACAAUCACUGCUGUCAAGGUGCAUGGGACUUUGCUUUUGCCGUCGUCAGAGCACCUUCGUUGGUUACAGACAUUCGUCCUUACAUAAGGCCAAACUCAGCACACCCAUAAAAACUCUGAAUGCUGCUAACAGGGAGGCCUAUGUGGCCAAGAACUAAGGGAGAUCUCCAGCCAAUGGCCAGUGAGGAGCUUCCACACACUGACAUGGAAGAGGGGCCUCCCCCAGUCAAACCUUCAGAUGGGACUGCAGCCCUGGAUGACAGAUUGACUGCAAUCUCAUGAGAUACCUGGAGCCAGAAGCUCCCAGCUCAGCCAUGCCUGGAUUUAUAACCCACGGGAAUUGCAAGAUAAUAAAGGAUGAUUGUAAGCUGCUAUGUUUGGGGAU